rnacentral:rRNA from 1 species
AAUAAGCUAAAUAAGGGCGUAUGGGGAAUGCCUAGGCUCUCAGAGGCGAUGAAGGACGUGAUAAGCUGCGAAAAGCUGCGGGGAUUGGCACAUACAAAUUGAUCCGCAGAUAUCCGAAUGGGGCAACCCACUAUACUGAAGGUAUAGUAUCCGCAAGGAGGCAAACCCGGAGAACUGAAACAUCUAAGUACCCGGAGGAAGAGAAAACAAUAGUGAUUCCGAUAGUAGCGGCGAGCGAACUCGGAAUAGCCCAAACCGAUUCUGUUACGGCAGGAUCGGGGUUGUAGGACCACGACAUUUUAUGCGUAAUGAAUUAGAACACUUUGGAAAGAGUGGCCAUAGACGGUGAUAGCCCGGUAUAGGUAAAGAGCGUUAUAGAUAGUGGUAUCCUGAGUAGUGCGGGGCACGUGAAACCCUGUAUGAAUCUGGCGGGACCAUCCGCUAAGGCUAAAUACUCCUGAGAGACCGAUAGUGAACCAGUACCGUGAGGGAAAGGUGAAAAGAACCCUGAACAAGGGAGUGAAAUAGACCCUGAAACCAUACGCUUACAAGCGGUCGGAGCCCUUUUGGGUGACGGCGUGCCUUUUGCAUAAUGAGCCUACGAGUUACUUUAUCUAGCAAGGUUAAGAUGUUCAGCAUCGGAUCCGUAGCGAAAGCGAGUCUUAAUAGGGCGUUUAGUUAGGUUGAGUAGACGCGAAACCGUGUGAUCUACCCUUGGGCAGGUUGAAGCUGUGGUAACACAUAGUGGAGGACCGAACCCGUUGACGUUGAAAAGUCUUGGGAUGACCUGAGGGUAGGGGUGAAAGGCCAAUCAAACUCGGAAAUAGCUCGUACUCCCCGAAAUGCAUUUAGGUGCAGCGUUGAUUUAUAGUUUUAUAGAGGUAGAGCUACUGAUUGGAUGCGGGGGCUUCACCGCCUACCAAUUCCUGACAAACUCCGAAUGCUAUAAAAUGUUGAUCAGCAGUGAGGGCAUGGGUGCUAAGGUCCAUGUCCGAGAGGGAAAGAACCCAGACCAUCAGCUAAGGUCCCCAAAUGUAUGUUAAGUUGAAAAAACGCGGUUGGACUGCCCAGACAGCUAGGAUGUUGGCUUGGAAGCAGCCAUUCAUUUAAAGAGUGCGUAACAGCUCACUAGUCGAGCGAUCCGGCAUGGAUAAUAAUCGGGCAUAAACAUACUACCGAAGCUAUGGCAUCGUAAGAUGGGUAGGGGAGCAUUGUAACAAAGUUGAAGGUUUACUGUGAGGUAAGCUGGAUUGG